GACGAACGCUGGCGGCGUGCUUAACACAUGCCAGUCGAACGGAAAGGCCCUGCUUUUGUGGGGUGCUCGAGUGGCGAACGGGUGAGUAACACGUGAGUAACCUGCCCUUGACUUUGGGAUAACUUCAGGAAACUGGGGCUAAUACCGGAUAGGAGCUCCUGCUGCAUGGUGGGGGUUGGAAAGUUUCGGCGGUUGGGGAUGGACUCGCGGCUUAUCAGCUUGUUGGUGGGGUAGUGGCUUACCAAGGCUUUGACGGGUAGCCGGCCUGAGAGGGUGACCGGCCACAUUGGGACUGAGAUACGGCCCAGACUCCUACGGGAGGCAGCAGUGGGGAAUAUUGCACAAAGGGCGGAAGCCUGAUGCAGCAACGCCGCGUGCGGGAUGACGGCCUUCGGGUUGUAAACCGCUUUCGCCUGUGACGAAGCGUGAGUGACGGUAAUGGGUAAAGAAGCACCGGCUAACUACGUG
rnacentral:rRNA from 1 species